UCUAGCCACAAACUAUUCCUAUAUCCGUUUAGCCACAUUAUUUGAGCUCAUGGACAGCUAUACGUACUCGUCACUCCAGCAACAACCACCAUUAUUUGAGCUCUCGAAGAUUGUGAAUUUCUAGAGAAUCCAUACCGUGGUCCCGUGGUUAGUGCAAAUGGAAACUCACAAAGCUCAUUGCUUGAUAUUUCCAUGUGCCGCACAAGGACAUAUAAACCCUAUGCUCCAGUUUGCCAAGCGUUUGCAACAUCAAGGCACCAAAAUCACCCUUGCGACAACUAAAUUCUUCUUCAAAACCUUGCAAGACGUCUCGGGGUCAAUCGCAGUGGAGACCAUCUCUGAUGGAUAUGAUGAAGGAGCAAAUGAAGUGCCCCUUGAUACAUAUAAUGCUGUGUUUCAAAAGGUUGGCUCAGAAAAUCUUACUGAGCUAAUCUUGAAGCUUAAAGAUCUGGGUUGUCCUGUUGAUUGUAUUGUUUAUGAUGCACUCGUUUAUUGGGCUUUGGAUGUGGCCAAAAGUCUCGGCUUACGUGCUGCUGCGUUCUUCACUCAAUCUUGUGCUGUCUACAAGAUCUACUACCAUGUCUACGCAGGCCUUUUGAAACUUCCUCUGGAGGAGUCUAAAGUGGAAAUUCCCGGCUUACCACCACUUUUGGCUUCAGAUCUGCCUUCUUUUUUUUCUAAUUACGGUUCAUAUCCGCCAAUUUUUCAGAUGGUUGCAUAUGACCAAAUGAAGAACAUCCAUGAAGCUGACUGGAUCUUCUGCAACACAUUUUACAAGUUGGAGGAGGAGGUGAUUGACUGCACAUCCAAGAUCCUACCAAUAAAGACGAUUGGACCAACUAUUCCAUCUAUGUACCUUGACAAGCGCCUUCAAGAUGACAAGCAGUAUGGUCUCAGUCGUUUUAUGCCAAUGACUAAUGAUUGCAUGCCAUGGCUAAACGAAAGAUCAACCAGUUCAGUUGUUUAUGUAUCAUUUGGAAGUUUGGCAGAACUUGAUGCUGAGCAGAUGGAAGAAGUAGCCCAGGGCUUGAGAACUAGCAAUUACUAUUUUCUAUGGGUGGUUAGAGAAUCAGAAUCAAAUAAGCUGCCAAAAGAUUUUGUUAAAGAAACAUCUGAUAGAGGAUUAUUCAUUUCAUGGUGCCCUCAGCUUGAAGUUUUAGCCCACAAAUCUAUAGGGUGCUUUAUCACUCAUUGUGGAUGGAAUUCAACAUUGGAGGCCUUAAGUUUGGGGGUCCCAAUGAUAGGUAUGCCACAAUGGAUCGAUCAAAGUACAAACGCCAAGUUUGUAAUGGACAUCUGGAAAACGGGAAUCAAAGCUCAGCCAGAUGAAACUGGAAUUGUUAGAAGAGAUGUCAUUCAUGAAUGCAUAAGCGUAGUGAUGGAGGGGGAGAAAGGACAAGAGAUUAGGAAAAACGCAGAUAACUGGAAGGAUUUGGCAAGGAAGGCUUUUGAUGACGGGGAAGUUCAGAUAAAAACAUUAAAGACUUUGUAUCCGAAUUGAUUCAGUCUUGAAGAGAUAAUAAAGUUGAUCUGUCUUAUCCAAAUUGAUUCAGACUUGAAGAGAUAAUAAAGUAGAUUUGUCUUCUUCAAUGAUAAUCAAAGGCAACCAGGUGACUGUCACAUGAAUUUUUGACGAAAAGUAACCACACAUUUGUCUGGAUCCACUAGCAACUGCAGUAGAAACGUGGUAUUCCUGGUGCCAUUAAUAUCUAGAAAGUAGACUAUAGCAUAGAGGAUAUAGCACACACUGUCCCAAGUAGUGCACGCAAGUUCAAUUCAAUGUGAAUACUAGAGUUUGCAAUCCUCUAAGGUAGAACCACUGAAUUCUAUAAAAUUUAUUUUGACGUGUAGGGUACCGAAUAACCUAUCUCAAUUUGUAUGCCCUGGUAGAUGAAAUAUGAGGCUUCAAGUUCUAAUAGACUUUGAAAUUAGUUAUGCAGAACAAAAGAUCAUGAGGUCUUCUGCUAUUAUUAAAGAAACAGUUUUCAAGCAUGAACCAUCAUGACAAUGUGGAUGAGUAUUCUCACCAUUCA